GUGAAACGUUUUGCGGCAGCUGCACAAAGAACCAGGACAGCUUCCUGUGAGUCACCAGGGUGACGAGGCUCUCCAGUGGUGACAUAAUCAGACCUGCAUCUUCCCAGCCUUCAAACAAGAACAACUAAAUGAGUGAGAGCAUCUUUGGCCUUUGCAUUCAGUUCUGAAUCCAGUGCCUCUCUAGAUUACAAAGUAUUUAAAAUCCUGCUUCAUGGUGGGUCCAGAGAGGGACUGGAAAUGCUUAGCUAGUGAGGAGAGCACUGCUGCAGCAUGGAAAUGACAGGAAUCUGAACGGCAGCUGCAGAAGACAGACGUGUCAGCUAAGGGGACACAGCAGGACCAGUCGCUGAAGGCCACUGUCAGUAGAUACAAGGACUUUCCCAUCAACCUUCUUUGUAGCAGACACUGUUGGACCCACUCUGUGCCUUUGGCCAUGGUUUUUCUCAGACCUGCCGAUGGCUUCUUACUGGAAAAAACCGUGGCCUGCCUCAGGUCUCAUUUGUGCAGCAAAGUAAACCCCUUUGGAAGGAGGCCCCAUUUACUGACAGACUGGAGGCUAAAUAGCGAGUUCCCGUCCCCUCAGGUGGGGCAACGCAGAGUGCAGUUCUGCCUUGUCUCUGACAGAUGCCGCUGGGUUGAACCCUUGCCACCUGCAGCAGUAACCUGUUCUGAGGCAGCCCCUUGGCUUCCUUCUCCUUCUUGGCUCUGUUCCCUACAGCACUUCCAGUGCUUCCCAGGACAGACACUGCCCUCAUCAACUUCCACUCAGAUCCUAGCCUCAGGGUGUGCUUUGGGGCACCUGACCUAUAUCACUCAUCAAAGAAGAAAUCGUGUACUAGUUUGCUAUUGUAACAGGUUACCACAAAGUCAGCAGCUUAACACACCACCUCACAGUUUCCGUUGGUCUGGUCGGGAGUGCAGCAGGGCUGGGAGGGCUGCACUCAUCGGGAGCUCAGGGGCCUCUCCCAUGCUUGUUCACAUUGCUCAGCAGGGUCCAGGUCGUCAAGUUCAUAGGCCGAGGUUCCUGUUUUCUUGCUGGCCUUUGACCAGAGGCUGCUUCCCGCUCCUAAGGGCUGCCUUCUGUUCCCUGCCACACGGCCCUCUCCGUAGCAGGCUAGCUGAUCCGUCAAGGUCAUCAGGAAAGGGUCUCUACUGCUUCCAAACUCGAAUAUCCUUUCUGUCAAAGUGUGGAGAAAUUCUCUUCUUCAGAAGGGCUCAUGUCAUUAGGGGAGGCCAAUGAGAUCAUCUCUCUAUCUGAAGGUCUUGGAAACUUAACUGCAUCUGGAAAAUCCUGUCACAGCAGUACCUAGAUUUAUGCUUGAUUGAACAACCAGAAAAAGUAUAUACCAUGAGCCCGGUGAAUCUUGGGCCACCUUAGAGUCCUGCCUGCCCCAGAGUGGAAACAGCACAGCCUCUGGAACAAGAUGAACCUGUGUUCCUAAACAGCUCAUUUGUUGACUCAGCUCCGGAGCCGCUCAGCCUCUGUCCUCACUCCCUCGUCUCAUCCUCAGCCUGGGCGUUCCCCACCAUGGAUGGCCUCAGCCUAUGCUGUUUUCAGCUUCAUUUCUCGAAGGUAGACGGUGUCAGAACGGAACGGAAGUCGAGGACAGCCAGCUGGUGUCUGCUGCGGAAUCAAUUUCGUGCUUGGUGUAUGGGGAAACCCACCUACACGUUGGGUCACAGAAAUCUUCUGUGUUGGGUGUUGUGCCGUGAGAACAGAGAAAAAACAAUUGGUGGUUUUUCACUCAUAGAGUCAGUAUUGGCCUCUCAAUGAGAUCCACAAUGCCUCAUUAAUUACAAAACUAUCCAACCUUAAACGGCAUCUGUAAAUUAUGUCAGUAUGCAAGUAUUCAUGAGUUAGCAAAUUUUGAAUUUUGAAAGACCAAGUACAUAGAAAUAUCCAGUUGUACAUUGCCUCUCUAUCCUAUCAUGCACCCUAACUCUCCUCUCUUCCCCUAACCCAUGUACAGCAACCAAGUUGCUCUUGGCCUUGAGGCCCCUGAGGGUCAGUAAGGGGAAUGACUGCCCGCAACCCCUGACCGCCUACCCGAUUUCCUCCCAAGGAAACUGGGCAUAAAAGGAGCACCUCCCCUUCCCCUUUCCACAUUCGCUGCUCUGUUAAAUUGCCCUCAGAGGGUGUUUCUCCUGCAUAUGUGUCUGCAUCUUCCUUAAACUCCUUCUUUCUUUCAGUUAUUAAAAAAAUUCUGGGCGGGCGCAGUG